AACGAACGCUGGCGGCAUGCCUAACACAUGCAAGUCGAACGAAGCCUUCGGGCUUAGUGGCGCACGGGUGCGUAACGCGUGGGAAUCUGCCCUUUGGUUCGGAAUAACAGUUGGAAACGACUGCUAAUACCGGAUGAUGACGAAAGUCCAAAGAUUUAUCGCCAGAGGAUGAGCCCGCGUAGGAUUAGCUAGUUGGUGUGGUAAAGACGCACCAAGGCGACGAUCCUUAGCUGGUCUGAGAGGAUGAUCAGCCACACUGGGACUGAGACACGGCCCAGACUCCUACGGGAGGCAGCAGUGGGGAAUAUUGGACAAUGGGCGAAAGCCUGAUCCAGCAAUGCCGCGUGAGUGAUGAAGACCCUAGGGUUGUAAAGCUCUUUUACCCGGGAUGAUAAUGACAGUACCGGGAGAAUAAGCCCCGGCUAACUCCGUGACAGCCGCCGCAGUAA
rnacentral:rRNA from 1 species